CUACGGGGUGCUGCAGUGGGGAAUAUUGCACAAUGGGGGAAACCCUGAUGCAGCAACGCCGCGUGGAGGAUGACGCAUUUCGGUGUGUAAACUCCUUUUAUAUAGGAAGAUAAUGACGGUACUAUAUGAAUAAGCACCGGCUAACUCCGUGCCAGCAGCCGCGGUAAUACGGAGGGUGCAAGCGUUUCUCGGAAUCACUGGGCGUAAAGCGCGCGCAGGCGGCCUUUUAAGUUGGAUGUGAAAGCCUAUGGCUUAACCAUGGAACUGCAUCCAAAACUAUCAGGCUAGAGUCUGGGAGGGGAAGAUGGAAUUAGUUGUGUAGGGGUAAAAUCCGUAGAGAUAACUAGGAAUACCAAAAGCGAAGGCGAUCUUCUGGAACAGUACUGACGCUGAGGCGCGAAGGCGUGGGGAGCAAACAGGAUUAGAUACCCCCGUAGUC
rnacentral:rRNA from 1 species